CCGCUUUUAGCUCAGUGGUCGGGCGUUGGCUUUGGAAGCCACAGGUCGGUGGUUCGAACCCGCCAGGGCACA
rnacentral:tRNA from 1 species